UUUAACUCAUGUUACUCUUGAGCUAGAUGGAAAAUGCCCUGCUAUAUUUGAUCACCUUUCCAAUCCUUCAGAUUUUAAGAUGGCAGUGAAAAGAAUAGCAGGAGCAAAAUGGGGAACCUGUAGUGGACAAGCAUGUAUAGGAAUUGAUUAUGUGAUUGUUGAGGAGAAGUUCUCAUCUGAAUUGAUAGAACUAUUAAAGAAGUUCAUCAAAAAAAUUUAUGGUGACAACCCUGUAGAGUCAAAGGUACUGUCAAGAAUAAUAAAC